CUACGGGUUGCUCCAGUGAGGAAUAUUGCACAAUGGGGGGAACCCUGAUGCAGCAACGCCGCGUGGAGGAUGACGCAUUUCGGUGUGUAAACUCCUUUUAUAUGUCAAGAAAAUGACGGUAGCAUAUGAAUAAGCGCCGGCUAACUCCGUGCCAGCAGCCGCGGUAAUACGGAGGGCGCAAGCGUUACUCGGAAUCACUGGGCGUAAAGAGCGUGUAGGCGGAUUAAAAAGUCAGAAGUGAAAUCCUAUAGCUUAACUAUAGAACUGCUUCUGAAACUCUUAAUCUAGAAUAUGGGAGAGGUAGAUGGAAUUUCUGGUGUAGGGGUAAAAUCCGUAGAUAUCACUAGGAAUACCUAAAGCGAAGGCGAUCUCCUGGAACAUUACUGACGCUAAGGCGUGAAAGCGUGGGGAGCAAACAGGAUUAGAUACCCGUGUAGUC
rnacentral:rRNA from 1 species